GAUGAACGCUGGCGGCGUGCCUAAUACAUGCAAGUCGAGCGAACGGACGAGAAGCUUGCUUCUCUGAUGUUAGCGGCGGACGGGUGAGUAGCACGUGGAUAACCUACCUAUAAGACUGGGAUAACUUCGGGAAACCGUAGCUAAUACCGGAUAAUAUUUUGAACCGCAUGGUUCAAAAGUGAAAGACGGUCUUGCUGUCACUUAUAGAUGGAUCCGCGCUGCAUUAGCUAGUUGGUAAGGUAACGGCUUACCAAGGCAACGAUGCAUAGCCGACCUGAGAGGGGGAUCGGCCACACUGGAGCUGGGACAGGGUCCAGACUACUACGGGAGGCAGCAGUAGGGAAUCUUCCGCAAUGGGCGAAAGCCUGGCGGAGCAACGCCGCGUGAGUGAUGAAGGUCUUCGGAUCGUAAAACUCUGUUAUUAGGGAAGAACAUAUGUGUAAGUAACUGUGCACAUCUUGACGGUACCUAAUCAGAAAGCCACGGCUAACUACGUG
rnacentral:rRNA from 1 species